UUUAAUCCGUUUCCACAUAAAAUAAAAGCAUACACCAAAAAUCUCACCGCCUUUCCAUGAAUAAAUAGAAACCCAAAACCCCCCACUCCAUCACAACUUUGUAUCUACUCCAUACAAAACCCUCCAAAUUUCUGCUAGUUGUUGAGAAUCACAAUGAUGAUGACACGUGGCACUAGUCGGGUCGCCCGGUUCACGACGGCCGGCCGUCUGUUCUCCGCCGUGAAGGGUGCGGCGGCGGAGAGCGAGAAGUUUCCGGUGAUGGGUGUGCGUUGGAGGAGCAGUCUGACGCUGGGUGAGAAAGAACAGGUGAAUAAUAAGAAUGGUGAAGAUAAACAAGUGGUGGCUAGUUACUGGGGAAUAAAGGGUCAAGAGGUGAAGAAGGAAGAUGGGACCCCCUGGAAAUGGAACUGCUUCAGGCCAUGGGAGACGUACCAGGCGGACUUGACGAUCGAUCUGAAGAAGCACCAUGUCCCCACUACUUUCUUAGACAAACUGGCUUACUGGACUGUUAAGUCUCUCAGGUUCCCUACCGAUGUCUUCUUUCAGAGACGAUAUGGAUGCCGUGCAAUGAUGUUAGAAACGGUAGCUGCUGUCCCUGGCAUGGUCGGGGGAAUGUUGCUUCAUUGCAAGUCACUCAGGCGCUUUGAGCACAGCGGAGGUUGGAUCAAGACCUUGUUAGAUGAAGCUGAAAAUGAAAGAAUGCACCUCAUGACAUUCAUGGAGGUGUCCCAGCCAAGAUGGUACGAGCGUGCCCUUGUGUUCACUGUACAGGGUGUCUUCUUCAACGCCUACUUCCUUGCAUAUCUAGCAUCUCCCAAACUGGCUCACCGAGUUGUUGGAUACUUGGAAGAGGAAGCAAUUUACUCCUAUACCGAGUUCCUCAAGGAGUUGGACAAAGGUACUAUUGAGAAUGUUCCUGCUCCGGCUAUUGCCAUUGAUUACUGGCGCCUCCCGGCUGACUCUACAUUGCGAGAUGUAGUCAUGGUUGUUAGGGCAGAUGAGGCUCACCACCGAGAUGUUAACCACUUUGCUUCGGACAUACAUUAUCAAGGACAUGAGCUGAAGGACUCCCCGGCCCCUCUUGGAUAUCACUGAAGUGAAGGAAUCUCUGGUGCUCUGCUUAUAUGAAGUUUCUUUUGAUUGAAUUCUAUCACGAGAUUGGUGGCAGGGUAGUUUCCUGCCUGAUCCCAUUAGAUAAUUAGAAGACUGUAUUGGUUCUUGGAGGAAUUUGUAACGGGGAAGAGUUAAACUAAGAGUUGGGCUAGCACGGAGUUGUUUUGAAGGAUGCCUUGAGAAUUAUCCAAAGACAUCAACUUCAGACUCCUUUUGCUAGCAGUUACCCUGCCUCAAGGACCAAUAUGUCUUGAUACAAACAGAUUCAGGGAUGUUCCAAUCUGCAAUUUAUGGGCAAUGCUACCGGCUAAGAGGUUUUCCUAAACCCUAACCGGAAGGUUUCCUGGAACAUUUGGAGAGAAACUGAAAUUGCAAAGAGAAAAUCAAGUGUAACCUUGGUAUGUAAUAUUUGUAAGUACAGUAGGCCUCAUAAGGCUGGGAGAGAGCAUGGUUGGAUGGCGUGGAAACUAUCAAGACAACCGCAGGUGUUAAUACAUUACCUAGAUUCGUAUUGUUAUGAAAUUUAAGUUUUCUAACCCUUGCGAUGCUUGAGUUUGGUUAAUCAGGUUAUUUUUCCCAUUUUUUAAAUAUAAAAGAUGUGUUGAAUAUAA